rnacentral:RNase_P_RNA from 2 species
GAAGCUGACCAGACAGUCGCCGCUUCGUCGUCGUCCUUUCGGGGAGACGGGCGGAGGGGAGGAAAGUCCGGGCUCCAUAGGGCAGGGUGCCAGGUAACGCCUGGGGGGGAAACCCACGACCAGUGCAACAGAGAGCAAACCGCCGAUGGCCCACGUAAGUGGGAUCAGGUAAGGGUGAAAGGGUGCGGUAAGAGCGCACCGCGCGGCUGGUAACAGUCCGUGGCACGGUAAACUCCACCCGGAGCAAGGCCAAAUAGGGGUUCAUAAGGUACGGCCCGUACUGAACCUGGGUAGGCUGCUUGAGCCAGUGAGCGAUUGCUGGCCUAGAUGAAUGACUGUCCACGACAGAACCCGGCUUAUCGGUCAGUUUCACUU